rnacentral:tRNA from 1 species
GCGGAUGAGCCAAGGUGGAUCAGGGCAGG